GGGUUUCAUUUCCUUUUUUUUUUACAUGCACUUCAGGUGUUUGAUAAAAGUCCGAUACUGUUUUUUCUUGAAGCUGAGGAGGUUGGGUAUUUGGUUAUAUUGAUUUUGAAUUGUUUUGUUUUGUUGGGGGUAAUACCCAGGGUUAGACAAAUUGUGGACAUCACGGCUAUACACGAAGUUUCUCGACCUGUUAAUCAUGCACAUACUGUACAAAGUAUGGGUUGUGUGAUCGAGAGCAACCCUUCGCCGCACGGUGGGCGUG